AGUAAGGUGGCUGAUUAAGGUAUUAAAUUGUAAAUUUAAUUAUGGUUAUUUAACCUCUUAUUA
rnacentral:tRNA from 1 species